GUCUACAAGAUUAUUACUAAGUCCUGUAUUGUAGUUCGUAGUAAUGGGAAAGAAUCUGAAAUAGAUGAGGCUCUGUCAGAUUUCCUGAGACAUGCACCACACCAAGCAGGUAGAUUAAAGUACAAGAAACCUGCUCCAGCUGAUAACAUACCACCAUCUCAAGUGACUACACACCAACAGCCCUUAUAGGAGGAGACAUUUUUUUUUUUAUCUAAUAUGUUUAUAUUUGAAUGUAUAUAAAAAACUUAAUAUUCUA